UACGUAGGGUGCGAGCGUUGUCCGGAAUUAUUGGGCGUAAAGAGCUCGUAGGCGGUCUGUCGCGUCGAAUGUGAAAACCCGGGGCUCAACUCCGGGCUUGCAUUCGAUACGGGCAGGCUAGAGUUCGGUAGGGGAGUCUGGAAUUCCUGAUGUAGCGGUGAAAUGCGCAGAGUAUCAGGAGGAACACCGGUGGCGAAGGCGGGACUCUGGGCCGAUACUGACGCUGAGGAGCGAAAGCGUGGGGAGCGAACAGG
rnacentral:rRNA from 1 species